UACGUAGGGUGCGAGCGUUAAUCGGAAUUACUGGGCGUAAAGCGCGUGUAGGCGGUCCGGUAAGUCCGCUGUGAAAGUCGAGGGCUCAACCCUCGAAUGCCGGUGGAUACUGUCGGGCUAGAGUGCGGAAGAGGCGAGUGGAAUUCCUGGUGUAGCGGUGAAAUGCGCAGAUAUCAGGAGGAACACCUAUUGCGAAGGCGGCUCGCUGGGACGUAACUGACGCUGAGACGCGAAAGCGUGGGGAGCAAACAGG
rnacentral:rRNA from 1 species